rnacentral:rRNA from 1 species
GGCGUGCCUAUACAUGCAAGUCGAGCGGACAGAUGGGAGCUUGCUCCCUGAUGUUAGCGGCGGACGGGUGAGUAACACGUGGGUAACCUGCCUGUAAGACUGGGAUAACUCCGGGAAACCGGGGCUAAUACCGGAUGCUUGUUUGAACCGCAUGGUUCAAGCAUAAAAGGUGGCUUCGGCUACCACUUACAGAUGGACCCGCGGCGCAUUAGCUAGUUGGUGAGGUAAUGGCUCACCAAGGCAACGAUGCGUAGCCGACCUGAGAGGGUGAUCGGCCACACUGGGACUGAGACACGGCCCAGACUCCUACGGGAGGCAGCAGUAGGGAAUCUUCCGCAAUGGACGAAAGUCUGACGGAGCAACGCCGCGUGAGUGAUGAAGGUUUUCGGAUCGUAAAGCUCUGUUGUUAGGGAAGAACAAGUACCGUUCGAAUAGGGCGGUACCUUGACGGUACCUAACCAGAAAGCCACGGCUAACUACGUGCCAGCAGCCGCGGUAAUACGUAGGUGGCAAGCGUUGUCCGGAAUUAUUGGGCGUAAAGGGCUCGCAGGCGGUUUCUUAAGUCUGAUGUGAAAGCCCCCGGCUCAACCGGGGAGGGUCAUUGGAAACUGGGGAACUUGAGUGCAGAAGAGGAGAGU